rnacentral:rRNA from 1 species
GACGAACGCUGGCGGCGUGCCUAAUACAUGCAAGUUGAGCGCUGAAGGUUGGUACUUGUUCCAACUGGAUGAGCAGCGAACGGGUGAGUAACGCGUGGGUAAUCUGCCUUUGAGCGGGGGACAACAUUUGGAAACGAAUGCUAAUACCGCAUAAAAACUUUAAACACAAGUUUUAAGUUUGAAAGAUGCAAUUGCAUCACUCAAAGAUGAUCCCGCGUUGUAUUAGCUAGUUGGUGAGGUCAAGGCUCACCAAGGCGAUGAUACAUAGCCGGCCUGAGAGGGUGGUCGGCCAAAUUGGGACUGGGACACGGCCCAAACUCCUGAGGGGGGCAGCAGUAGGGAAUCUUCGGGAAUGGAGGGAAGGCUGACCGGACAACGCCGGGUGAGUGAAGAAAGGUUUCGGGUCGUAAAAAUCUGUUGGUAGAGAAGAACGUUGGUGAGAGUGGAAAGCUCAUCAAGUGACGGUAACUACCCAGAAAGGGACGGCUAACUACGUG